CGGACGGGUGAGUAACGCGUAGGAACCUAUCGCACAGUGGGGGAUAACACGGGGAAACCGGUGCUAAUACCGCAUGUGGUCAGAGAUGAAGAAAGCAGCAAUGCGCUGUGUGAGGGGCCUGCGUCCGAUUAGCUGGUUGGUGGGGUAACGGCCUACCAAGGCGACGAUCGGUAGCUGGUCUGAGAGGAUGGUCAGCCACACUGGGACUGAGAUACGGCCCAG
rnacentral:rRNA from 1 species